UUAGAAACUAAACCUAGCUAAUAUCUAUAGAUAUUAGAUGGCCUUUUUUGGCGCCUUAGAUGUACGGCAGCUCCGAAACCUUAGCAGAGACCUUAGGUGGUCCUGAGAAACUUUAGGUGAAGCUGUCUGAGGACUCAUCGAAUAGUUACUGAGUUACAUUCCCAAUGGCUGACGUCGGUGAAGCCUCUGGCAAGCCGCCGAAGGGCAAGCACGAGUCCAGCAAGGAUACUUACACCUACAAUGGCAAGGAGUACUCNNNNNNNNNNNNNNNNNNNNNNNNNNNNNNNNNNNNNNNNNNNNNNNNNNUUGCUGCAGCACAGGCUCACAAGCCGCUUGUGGAGAAGCUACUGCUAGCAGCAGCGCUGCUGCACUGUACAGUCACUGUACAGACUUGUCUUGGAGUGUUAACUGACGGUGAUGGAGGACUACUUCUAGGCAUGAAUACCAGAAAGUGUUAGGGUGGAUAGAGCGCUUCUGAGCUAUAAUGUAGCAUGUUUUGAGGCAAAUUGUUGACAGAUCGAUGAGCUGCAGCUGCAGCAGCCGCUGUUGUGGAAAUGUUUGGUGCUGUUUGGAAGCUGCAGAUUGUUUGGAAGCUGCUGCAGCUGCAGCUGCUUCAGCUGAAGCAGGCAUUGCAUAUGGCUUAAUGUUGUUACAUAGCAGGACUUGGGAAUUUCGUAUGCAUGUAGCUGCUGCUAGGCGACGUGUAUAUGUAAAAUUAUGAAUCCAUGCAUACAUGGUCUAUCCCUACCCCUAUGGCAGCCAAACGACGUGUUACGCCCUCCCCCCUACCAGCUGGACUAGUUACUCCUGAGACGGGUUGCGGCCCAGUUGGANNNNNNNNNNNNNNNNNNNNNNNNNNNNNNNNNNNNNNNNNNNNNNNNNNUCAGGAGGAUACUCUCCGGUGGCAGAGUGGUACAAGAGGGUACUCUCUGGUGGCAGGGUGGUACAGGAGGGUACUCUGAAAACUACAUCAGUUGGUGAUUUCAAAAGGACCUGUUUGAUGGCUACCAGAAAGGUUAUGGGCCAAAAAUGGAGAGGGGGGCUUAACUAGGCAUUCUUUUACCCCUUCUGGAAGGGUAUGCCCGGAAGCAGAAGCCCGGUACAGGAGGGUACUCUCCGGUGGCAGGGUGGUACAGGAGGGUACUCUCCGGUGGCAGGGUGGUACAGGAGGGUACUCUCGGGUGGCAAGGUGGUACAGGAGGGUAUCCUCCAGUGGCAAGGUGGUACAGGAGGGUAUUCUCCAGUGGCAAGGUGGUACAGGAGGGUACCCUCCGGUGGCAGGGUGGUACAGGAGGGUAUCCUCCGGUGGCAGGGUGGUACAGGAGGGUACCCUCCAGUGGCAAGGUGGUACUGGAGGGUACCCUCCGGUGGCAGGGUGGUACAGGAGGGUACCCUUCGGUGGCAAGGUGGUACAGGAGGGUACCCUCCGAUGGCAGGGUGGUACAGCAGGGUACCCUCCGGCGGCAAGGUGGUACAGGAGGGUACCCUCCGGUGGCAAGGUGGUACAGGAGGGUACCCUCCGGUGGCAGGGUGGUACAGAAGGGUACCCUCCGGUGGCAGGGUGGUACAGGAGGGUACCCUCCGGUGGCAGGGUGGUACAGCAGGGUAUCCUCCGGUGGCAGGGUGGUACAGGAGGGUAUCGUCCAGUGGCAAGGUGGUACAGGAGGGUACUCUCCGGUGGCAAGGUGGUACAGAAGGGUACCCUCCGGUGGCAGGGUGGUACAGGAGGGUACCCUCCGGUGGCAGGGUGGUACAGGAGGGUACCCUCCGGUGGCAGGGUGGUACAGGAGGGUAUCGUCCAGUGGCAAGGUGAUACAGGAGGGUACUCUCCAGUGGCAAGGUGGUUCAGGAGUACCCUCCGGUGGCAAGGUGAUCUAGGAGGGUACCCUUCGGUAACUUUUAUGGUACCUUUAGGAGGGUAAACCUCCAGUGGCAAGGUGGUACAGGAGCCUUUCCUCCGGUGGCAGGGUGGUACAGGAGGGUACCCUCCGGUGGCAGGUGGGUCCAGGAGUAGGGUUGGAAGUCAUCUAAGACUAAACUUCUUAACUUAUAUGAGACCUUUAGAAACUAACCCUAGCUAAUAUCUAUAGAUAUUAGAUGGCCUUUUUUGGCGCCUUAGAUGUACGGCAGCUCCGAAACCUUAGCAGAGACCUUAGGUGGUCCUGAGAAACUUUAGGUGAAGCUGUCUGAGGACUCAUCGAAUAGUUACUGAGUUACAUUCNCAAUGGCUGACGUCGGUGAAGCCUCUGGCAAGCCGCCGAAGGGCAAGCACGAGUCCAGCAAGGAUACUUACACCUACAAUGGCAAGGAGUACUCGGCCAAGGAAUUUUACGAGAAGCUGAAAGACAGCAAGCGAAAUAGCCAUGCUUCCUGGUGGGCUUUCUUCAACGUUGUGCUGGUAAACAACGCAGUGAAGCUGGCCUGCACGUUUUGCCCCACCCUGCGCACUCAGGCCUCACAGUUCUCGGGUCUGCGGUGUGUGACG
rnacentral:lncRNA from 1 species